rnacentral:rRNA from 1 species
AUUGAACGCUGGCGGCAUGCCUUACACAUGCAAGUCGAACGGCAGCACGGGGGCAACCCUGGUGGCGAGUGGCGAACGGGUGAGUAAUACAUCGGAACGUGCCCCGUAGCGGGGACAACCAGUCGAAAGACUGGCUAAUACCGCAUACGCUCCACGGAGGAAAGCAGGGGAUCGCAAGACCUUGCACUAUGGGAGCGGCCGAUGCCCGAUUAGCUAGUUGGUGAGGUAAAGGCUCGACCAAGGCAACGAUCGGUAGCUGGUCUGAGAGGAC